CCUACGGGUGGCUGCAGUGAGGAAUAUUGGUCAAUGGGCGCGAGCCUGAACCAGCCAAGUAGCGUGAAGGAUGAUUGCCCUUCGGGUUGUAAACUUCUUUUAUAAAGGAAUAAAGUGAGGCCCGUGUGCCUUUUUGUAUGUACUUUAUGAAUAAGGAUCGGCUAACUCCGUGCCAGCAGCCGCGGUAAUCCGGAGGAUCCGAGCGUUAUCCGGAUUUAUUGGGUUUAAAGGGAGCGUAGAUGGGUUGUUAAGUCAGUUGUGAAAGUUUGCGGCUCAACCGUAAAAUUGCAAUUGAUACUGGCAGUCGUGAGUAGAGGAGAGGUGGGCGGAAUGCGUGGUGUAGCGGUGAAAUGCUUAGAUAUCGCGAAGAACUCCGAUUGCGAAGGCAGUUCACUGGACUGCAACUGACACUGAGGCUCGAAAGUGUGGGUAUCAAACAGGAUUAGAUACCCCUGUAGUC
rnacentral:rRNA from 1 species